GACGAACGCUGGCGGCGUGCCUAAUACAUGCAAGUCGAGCGAACGGACGAGAAGCUUGCUUCUCUGAUGUUAGCGGCGGACGGGUGAGUAACACGUGGAUAACCUACCUAUAAGACUGGGAUAACUUCGGGAAACCGGAGCUAAUACCGGAUAAUAUUUUGAACCGCAUGGUUCAAAAGUGAAAGACGGUCUUGCUGUCACUUAUAGAUGGAUCCGCGCUGCAUUAGCUAGUUGGUAAGGUAACGGCUUACCAAGGCAACGAUGCAUAGCCGACCUGAGAGGGUGAUCGGCCACACUGGAACUGAGACACGGUCCAGACUCCUACGGGAGGCAGCAGUAGGGAAUCUUCCGCAAUGGGCGAAAGCCUGACGGAGCAACGCCGCGUGAGUGAUGAAGGUCUUCGGAUCGUAAAACUCUGUUAUUAGGGAAGAACAUAUGUGUAAGUAACUGUGCACAUCUUGACGGGACCUAAUCAGAAAGCCACGGCUAACUACGU
rnacentral:rRNA from 1 species